rnacentral:rRNA from 1 species
GAUGAACGCUGGCGGCGUGCUUAACACAUGCAAGUCGAGCGAGAAGUUUUGAAAAGAUUCUUCGGAUGAAAUUUAAAAUGGAAAGCGGCGGACGGGUGAGUAACGCGUAGGCAACCUGCCCCAUACAAAGGGAUAGCAUUUGGAAACGAAUAUUAAUACCUUAUGAAACUUAACUAGUGCAUGCUAGGUAGGUCAAAGAUUUAUCGGUCUGGGAUGGGCCUGCGUCUGAUUAGCUAGUUGGGGAGGUAACGGCUCACCAAGGCGACGAUCAGUAGCCGACCUGGGAGGGGGAACGGCCACAUUGGAACUGAGACACGGUCCAAACUCCUACGGGAGGCAGCAGUGGGGAAUAUUGCACAAUGGGGGAAACGCUGAUGCAGCAACGCCGCGUGAACGAUGCAGGCCUUUGGGUCGUAAAGUUCUGUUCUAGGUGAUGAAAACUGACAGUAACCUAGGAGAAAGCCCCGGCUAACUCCGUG